ensembl:lncRNA
AGUGAGGAAGUUUGCAGAAGCUCUUGCAGACAGAAAGCAGCAAACGCCAAAGAUGAAGAGAAGGCUGUAUGGAUAGAAAAAGAGAGGGUGGGGAGAAAGGAGAGCGACGAGUUUAGGUUUCCUUUCUCUUCAGUCUUUCUGUCGUUUUUUUUGCGCGCGUUGUCUCUCUUCUCUUCUUCUCUCCCCAGUUUUUCUCAACCUGUUCAUCUCCAGAAUGGAUGGAAGGCUAGUCCUUACCAUCCUGGUCCUGUGUGUCAAGAAUGUUGUAACCUUUGAAAAUACGACAUCCACCUCCCAACCUCUCACACCAUCCAACUCCACUCCUGCUACCCCCGGUCCCACCACUUCCUGUGUGUGUAAUAUCUCCACUUCCUGUUCCCCUCCGACCAAGCCCAAGUCUCCGCCACCUGCGCUGGGUGUUGUCAAGAUCAACUGGCAAGCAAAGUCCUGUAAGGGGGACAUACACCUGUGUCUCCUCUUGGGUGGAGACACCUGUCUCUCCACCCAUUCCUUACCACUCUGCUUUAACAGUUGGGCCAAUCUUAGCCUUGAACUGGCAGAAUCGUGUGAGAGGAAGGGCUGCGGGGGCUCCGCUAAGUGGACUGAGACCCCUGCUAGCUCUGAGGGUUACCAGAUCGAUAGGGAUGGAAGGGUUACCAAUAACUCCUGUACAACACUGAUAAUCCAAUGCGAAGUCGUCCCAGAUCAGUUAGUGGGCUAUAAGGUGGUGACUGGACUGCUGUGUGUUCUGGUGCUGGUGGUGCUGAUGGUGCGUUUCGGGCAGCCCUCCCUCAAGGCCCUCCGUAAGAGAUGUGAGUCCCAGAGACCUGGGCCUGUAUCCACAAAGGGCCGCAGAGUAGAACUGCUGAUCUAGGACUUGUCCAUAUACUCAUAUACACGAUGAUCUAAAAGACCAAACUGAUCCUAGAUCAGCACUUCUACUCUGAGACGCUGUGUGGUAACGGGGCCCAGAUCUAAACACGAAACACAUGAACGCACAUUUAGGAUGACAACAAAGUACUUCAAUUACUGCAAUAAAGUACUUAAAGAAAAAGUCCCCAGUACUUUGACCAAUCCAAUAGCGUUUGAUCAAAUAAUGUGUCAUAAGGUCAUUUCAGAAAAGAAAAGGAUAUUGAUAUCAGGGUUGUUAUUGUUAUCGUGGCAUGUGGCAUUUAUUUUAUUCAUAUUAAGUUAGUUAUGGAUUAAGGUUUUUUUGUCACAACUGUGUCAUUGAGACAUGUUAUCUUGGUGUUGUGUGUUGGUAAUAUAACAUUAUAAAAUGACCUUUAAUCAACAUGUUAAUGUCUGUGAUUCAGUGUCAGACAAGAGACAGAGUCGGUGGAUCGGACCUACGCAGAGCCAAAGUGUCUCCUACCAUAGAGGGAAGGCUGGACUCCAACUUAACGACAACACAGACAAGAGACACUCCUACCCUGGUGAGGCACUCACACACACCCACUCAAACACACACACACACACACACACGCACGCGCGCACACACACACACACACACACACACACACACACCCAC